UUUUUGUUCAAUAUAAUUUUACUUAUUUACUUAUUUAUUUAUUUUAAUAUGUAUAAUUAUUUUAUAAACUAAUAUUUCUUUUUUAAAAAACAUAAAAGUUUUAAUUUUCCAUUUAAUAUGUUUUCAUAAGUGUAUUAUUUAUUUUUGUUUCUCUUAAUAAAAUAUAUAUUAUAAAGUGAAUAUUUAUAUCUAUUUAUAUUUAUGAUAUAUAUGUAAUAACGUAUAAUUUGUUAUGUUCAUUUUAUUUUGUUAAAUUUAAAUAAUAAGAGUUUUUAUUUUUAUUUGAAUUCUUAUAUUUUUUUGGCAAAUUAUUGAAGUUUGCACAAAUUACGACUAGCGAAAAAAAUAAAAAAAUAAAAUAUAACUAGCCAUUUUGGAUUUUAUUAGUUAUAUAUAGCAUUAUUAUAAAUUAUUAGGAAGCUAUAUAGCUAUUAUUUUAUUUUUUUUUUAUAACAACUUUAAUGUAAAAAUUUUGGGAAGAAAAUUUACAAAAAAACUUGAAGGUAUGUAAGUUAUAAAAUUUAGUAUGUAUUUUUGAUAACAAAUAUUCUUCAAAAAAGAUAUGUAUUAUAUAGGUAUACCAUACAAAAUUAUAUGAAUUACAAAAAAAAAUUAAUUGCUUUAUAUUUUUUGUUAUAUUUUUAAGUUUUAUGUAUAAGUAUUUUUAAUUGGAAACAUUAUUUGGAUGUGUAGAACUGAUUUAGUUAUAUUAUUAUAAUGUAUCAACUUUUCUUCAUUAAUAUAUCCAGCAUAGAAUAGUAAUACAAAGAUAUAAGUAUGUCAACUCAUUUAUUUUUUUAUAAUAUUUAUAAUUAUUUAUGAAGGCAUGUAUGUAUUAUUUAUUAAAUUUAUACUUGAGUUUCUCUAGUUUAUUAUGGGUAGACACAAAGCAAAAUAUAUCAUGAUUUUUCAAAAUAAAUGAAAACUAAUAAAUGAAUUCUAUAUCCUUCAUUUUUUUUCUUUUUCUUUUCAUGUACUUUCUGCUUUUUUUUUUUGUUUUGUUUUGUUUUUCAAUAAAAAGGAAAUUAAGAUUUCUCAUAAAAUAAUUAAUGUUGGUAUUUUAUGCUAUAUGAAUGAUAUUUUGUAAAUAUAUAAUUGGAAAAUUUUAUAGUUUAAUAAUAAUAUAAAAAGGAAAAUAAAACUAGUUAAAUAUCACUAUUCAUGAAGAAUACAGAUAAUGUUGGAAUAUAUUUUAUAAAUCGUUAUAGUUAUAUGAUGUAAUAAAUGAAAUGACGAAAGUGUGUUUUUUUUUUUUUAUAUAUUAAAAAAUGAAAAAAGAAAAGAAAUAAAAAUUUUAUAAUUUUGAAUAUCAUUAGUAAAACAUUAAGAUAUAAUAUUAUAUAUAAAUAAAUUUAUUAUUUUGAAAAAAGUACGUUAUAAAAUGGAUGUAUUUUAUGUUAAUAAUACAAAACGUUUACUCAAAUUAAUCAGAUAAAAGAAAUAUAUUAAACUUUUUAUAUUCAUAUAUAUUUUUUUUUUCAAUUGAUGUAUGUCGAUAUAUUAAGGUGUAAAUUUUAAAAUAUUACUAGCAUGAAUUUACUAUGGUAUAUGGCAUAACAUAUAUAUAUAUAUAUAUUAUACUUAAUAAUGAUGCUAUAUUAAUUUCGAAAAAAAUACAAGCAUAUAUAUAAGAUAAUAGGUUAUAAAAGGAUGAAUAUA